GACCCGUGUACACCACCUCUUUCGGCCCCAGAUUCUUCAUCCUCCGCGCCUCCGUCGCCGCCGACACCACCAACAGCACCGCCACAAUCAUCACCACCACCAGUACCACCACAAUCAUCACCACCACCACAAUCGCCAUCACCACCGCAAUCAUCACCACCACCAUCAGCAACAGAAUCAGUAACACCAAUAGCACGAACGACAACAGCGGAAGCAGCAUUAGAAACAAUAGCGUCUGCGACGACAGCAGGAACAACGACAGUGGUCGUUGCUACGGGGGCGGUGACAAUGGCGGAUUCGUCGAAUCCUUCAUGGUUCACUCCUAAGAGGUUGGAAGCUCUACUAAUUGCCGAGUGGCAUUCUGGGUAGAGGCAUGCUUGAUGCUUCCAUUUGCUAUUCUUGGAUUUGUGAUUAGGCCUCUGCAAUUGAAAGGCUUUUUUUCAUCUUCAAAAUCAUCAAUUAUGGCAAGCAUUCAAAAGGCAUUGGUAGACAGCAAAGAUGAAGUAAAGGUUGAUGGAGAUGCUUCCACUGCGAGUGAUGAUAGGAGCAAGAAGAAGUCAUCUUUGUCCAACAGUGCAUCAAAGGUUAUGAUGCAAGUUUCGAGGUUCUGGGGUGAUCUAAAAGUACUUCUGGCCGACAAGGUCUACGUUGUACAUGUUUUAGGAUAUGAGGACAUGUUGGGACUGAAAUCGAUUCAAGAAAUGUAGAAGUAUGUCAAUACGAAAACACAGAAAAUAUCUCUGCUUCUGAAAAAGCGGAUUACCACACCAAAUUGGAUCAAGCAUAAGGAGCGCAGAGAAGUUCACAUGUUCGUAGACCUGCUUCUUCAAGAGGGCUUUUCAAAGUUCUUGCAAUAUAUAGGAGAUAAGGCAUAUCAUGGAGCUUCCAAUGGAGCAAUCAUAAUCUUCUCAGAAAUUUCUUGAGCUUAGUUCCUGGGUGCAAAAUAGAGAAGGGAGAAGAGUAUUCAUAAGUUUCAGUAAGCGAAGUCAAGCAGAUUUUAGUUCGCUGCUCAACGCCAAAGCAUCAUCGCUCUGACAGCACUGGUAGUGCAAAUUCCUCUUGCGGUAACCUUCUUCGGGACGAAAAAAUUAGCAUACACAGCAAGUUCGAAGCCAACUGCUUGAAAGUCAUCUUGCUAAGAUUUUAAAGCAAAAAAUGGAGACCUUCACAAAAAUUGAGUUUACGCAGGAGUCAGUGAUCUCAACCGUUGUGAAACUCUUCUUGAAAAGCUUUGUACAGUUUGUGAGACUCCAGACGUUUAACCACGGUGGAUUUCAGCAAAUCCAGUUGGACAUGCAGUUCCUUCGAGCACCUCUUAAAGAAAUUGCUGAUGAUGAUGCAGCUAUUGAUUUCCUACUUGAUGAGGUCUGUGUGGCAGCUGCAGAACGUUGUCUUGAUUCAAUUCCUCUAGAGCCAGCUAUUUUGGAGAAACUGAUCCAGGCAAAAUUGCCCAAGAGUUGAUCAAUGGAUCUGAUGGUUUGAAAAAUAUCCGAUGCAUUAUUCUGCGGGCCAACAGGUGGUCAUUCGCACACUGGCCUGUGCAUGCUUCACUGUCACCACUUUUUUUCUGUAUUUCCCAAGAUCAUGCGUACGGAAUUUUGUUAGGGAUAGAAGUCUUCCACAAAAAUUUUAGACAUUUUCUAAGUUUUCCUUUUACUUAACGUAGCAGCUUGUGUGGGCCACUGUCAGAGGAGUUUGGCAGUUCGUUUGUGUUCUCUUGGGUAAUACGGCAUUGAAAACUGAGCUCUUUCCAUCACAUGCUCAUGGUCUUACCGUGCGCAGACCUUGCAGGCAGGUUCUUCUAGAAAUUCAUGAAUAAAAUGUAACUGCCACGUUGUGAUGGGACAGUCCCAACUUUCUUCUCAAAAUUGAAUUGAGAAGGCUUUUGUUGCUUAAAGGGAGGUACUGCUCAAGGAUCUGUUGUACGUGAUAACUUACUCUGGUCGUCUUUUCAUAUAUGCUUGGAUAGUGCACGCAGCUGGUUGGUUGUUCCAGGUUUGUAUAGUUACCGGCUUAGGUUUUUGACAUUGUACAUUCGGGUUAUGGAGCUUGUUAGAAACUUCCAAGGCAGUUCAGCACUAUCUUUCUGCGGUGAGUACAUGACAUUUUCUUUCUUUUUUCCUUUCUUUGUAUAAACAAGCUAUGGUAGUAGAUCCGACCAAAUGGCAGUGGCAUAUUGAAUUUCUUCA